UCAGUAAGUGGGAGAUGACAGAGCAGACGUGCUGCCUGUGUUAGGGGAGCAACAGAACUCCAAUAGCAAUAUGAAUUAUUGGAACAGUGUUCAUCUGGGGAACUGCAGACAGGCAAAGCAGCUCUGAAGAAAUGCAUUCCUGUCAAAGACAGUUUGUUUCAGCUGAGGCUUAAAUAACAGCAGAAGUAAAAAUAGAGUAAUCUGGUGAGGGAGAAACCAAACUGGAGCCACUGUAUGUAACAAAAAGGUGUGUGUGUGUUUGUUUCUGAAGGCUAAAGAAGAAGUACAUUUUGGCAUUACCAGAAACUUUAUGGGACCAGUUUUGAAUGGGAGAAAUCGACUCCAGCCAAUGGGAGUUCAAGGAGCUCUGCAUUGUGCUACCAAACUCAGAUGCCAUGACAAAUGGAAUAAAAAAGGAUCAUUUGGGUUUUCUGAAACAUGACAUUAAUCUACAGUUAUUUCUCAUGUUCAACAUCUAGCUGUAUUUGUGAGCCCAGUAGUCUAUCCUCUGUCUUGAACUUUGAAAAAAGCAGAGUGGAAACUCCCCAUGUAAGGAAGAGGUUUUCUCAUUUUGCCCAGAGGCUGAAGCAGCAGAGAAAGCAAAACCAAUGUGAAUCAUCAAACAGUGACAGUGGACAAUUACCAGCAACUUGUUCACGCUUUGCCUGGAAUAGCCUAAGCUGAAACCACUAGCUGAAAAUGACACAGCAAAUGCAUAACUUAAGUCUCCUCCAGACUAAAAAGAACAGCAUGCCUUCCUCCCCAAAUGCUGCCAAGCGGCUAUAUCGGAACCUGUCAGAGAAGCUCAAGGGGAGUCAUACAUCCUUUGACGAAGCGUAUUUCAGAGCUCGAUCUGACCGGCUCAGCCUCCGUAAGACCUCAAUGAAUUUCCAGUGCAAUGAAGCUAUGUUUGAGGCUGUAGAGCAGCAAGAUCUGGAUGCUGUUCAAAUUCUUCUUUAUCAAUACACACUGGAAGAACUGGACCUGAACACACCAAACAGUGAGGGACUAACUCCUUUGGACAUUGCCAUUUUGACAAACAACGUCCCUAUUGCUAGGACCCUUCUACACGUUGGGGCAAAGGAAAGCCCACACUUUGUUAACAUGGAAAGCAGGUCAGUGCAUCUGAGUACAUUGGUCCAGGAAGCACAGCAGCGAAUUACUGAAUUGUCUGCACAAGUGGUGAAUGAAGACCUUGGUACAGACAACACAGAGAAAGAGAAGCAACUAAAAGCAUGGGAAUGGAGAUACAGGCUAUACAAGCGCAUGAAAGCAGGCUACGAGCAUGCUAGAGCCCCUGAGGCGCCAACCAAUGUCUGUCUCAUGGUAACAAGCAGUACAUCACUCACUGUCACCUUCCAAGAACCUCUGAGUGUCAACUCAGCUGUGGUGACCAAGUACAAAGUGGAAUGGAGCUGUUCAGAAGACUUUUCUCCUUUGGCUGGUGAAAUAAUUAUGGAUAAUCUUCAGUCUUUGAGGUGCACCAUCACAGGUCUCAGAACGGGCCAGAGGUAUUAUGUCCAUGUUUCAGCAUACAACAUGAGAGGAUGGGGACCUCCACGCAAAUCUACUCCUGAAUAUGCUUCUCCUUCAAACUGGAAAGACUGCAGUGGAAGAGAACCUCGGCACAGGGGACACACUGAGGCCCUGGAACGCCUCCUUCAGCAGGUUCGAGCAGCUCAUCAGCAUUAUAAUUGCAGAGAAAGCUCUAAACUACAGAAUGCUGGUCGCAAGCAAUCUGUUUCCAGAAGCUUGAAGCACCUUUUCCAUUCAUCAAACAAGUUUGUGAAGACUCUGAAACGGGGACUCUACUUAGCUGUUAUAUUUUUUUACAAGGACAAUUUAUUAGUAACCAAUGAAGAUCAAAUCCCAAUUGUGGAAAUUGAUGACUCCCACAGUAGCUCAGUUAUGCAGGAUUUCCUGUGGUUCACAAAGUUGUCUUGCAUGUGGGAUGAUAUCAGAUGGCUAAGGCAGAAUAUGUCUAUAUCCGUGUCCUCAUCAACAACGCUUCAAGCCAGGCAAAAGAUGCUUUCAGCAGCAGCACAGCUACAGAAUUUGCUGGGAACUCACAACCUAGGCAGAGUUUUUUACGAGCCAAUCAAGGAUCGACAUGGCAAUAUGCUGAUAGUGACUAUAAGAGAAGUGGAGAGUCUUUAUUCAUUUUUCAAUGGCAAAUGGAUGCAGGUAUCCAAAUUACAAAGCCAGAGGAAAUCCCUCUCAACUCCAGAGGAGCCAACAGCAUUAGACAUCUUGCUUAUAACAAUCCAGGACAUACUCACCUAUCACAAACGAAGUCAGCAGCGCCUCCCUCCUGGCUUGUACCUGGGUUACCUUAAACUCUGCAGUUCUGUGGAUCAAAUCAAAGUGCUCGUGUUGCAGAAGUUGCCUAAUGUCCUGUGUCAUGUUAAAAUCCGAGACAACAGCAAUGUCUCCAGAGAUGAGUGGGAAUGGAUCCAAACACUUUCUGGCUCAGAAUCUGUGGAAAGUAUGGAUCAUACUUCAGACUGCCCUACUCAAUUGUUCUUGUAUGAGCUCCAGAUGGCAGUGAAAGCUCUCCUUAAACAGAUCAAUCUACCUCUGCAUCAGGCUAAGCACUUCCGUCUGUAUACACAGGAGGUGUUGGAACUGGGUCACAAUGUCUCCUUUCUUCUCCUGCUCCCCGCCUCAGACGACGUCUGCACUGCCCCAGGACAGAAUAAUCCUUACACCCCACACUCAGGAUUUCUUAACCUCCCUCUUCAGAUGUUUGAACUCGUUCAUUUUUGCUGCUACAAGGAAAAAUUUAUAAGCCUGUAUUGCCGCCUUUCUGCUGUCAUAGAGCUGGACUCUCUGAAAACCCAGCAAUCCCUAAGGGAAGCAAUUUCAGACAGUGAAGUCGCUGCAGCCAAACAAAGACACCAGCAAGUUAUAGACUACAUACAGCAAAUCGAUGAGAUCUGGAGGGAAAUGAGAUGGAUCACAGAAGCACUGCAGUAUGCAAGAUACAAGCAGCCAGCAGCUGGCCUACCUGUAAAGAAGUUUGUGGAUCUUUCAGUAGAACACUCUCAGAAGAAAAUCAGUUCAUCCUCUUCACAUUUAGAUUGUCUUCCUUCACCUCCCCCUUCACCUGAGGCUAGACUCCAGAGAAGAAAAGCUGUGAGUGAUUCCCAGCCCUGCUCAGAUGAAGAAGGCUGCUCUGAAGUAUUCCUUCCAACUGACAGUGACUAUGAUUCCAGUGAUGCAUUAAGCCCCAGAGAAUUAGACCUGAUUUACUCCUCCUCACAGGACAUAUCCCAGCAGGCCAGCAGUGGCCUGGGUGGCAGUGCACCUGAUGUUCUCCAAGUCCACGACAUGAAGCCUUGCCUGACAUUGAAAGAAGGCCUGACAGAGUGUAGUGCCUUUGAUACUAAUGCUGAAUGUUGCACAGAGGACAUGAGCAAUCUAACAGUGUCAGGGCUUACAUUGAAAAGCAUAGACAAGUCCUCUAGCUCCAAGCAGGCACUGAGCUUUUUAGGGAAAAAAAAACUAGGGAAACAUCAACAUUACAGCUACUUCAGCCGGCACCAUCGGUGGCUGCGUGUGUACAGUGAGACACAGUCUGGCUCUCUGUCUGAAGGGGUGUAUACUCAGCAUCUCAUGAGACAUUCAGAUUUGUCUCAAGAGCCUAUCUCCACUGAGCAGGUGAAGAUUCCCAUUGAUGGAUCUCGGAGCACUUUCUUGCCUCAUGCAUCCAGCCUUCCAGAAGAUGGGAAAGGCAAGUAUGAGGAGUCAAGGCAAACUGUCCAUCAGAUACAUGUGGAGCCUUAUAAAACAUUUCUGGAUGAAGACAGCAAGUCCUGGGCAAUGAGCACACAGUCUGUAGAACACAGGGAUGCUCACAGUGCUAUGCAACAGAAAAUGAGUCCAGAUGACCAGUCGGGUUCUGCUGUCUCAGAAGUCUUCAGCAGCACACUUUAACCCUCAGACUUGUGCAUUGCUUCCCACUGCUACACAGUGAGAGAGUGAACAUCGUGCAUGCAGGGCCAUACUUUCAAAACCACUUGGAAAUCUCCAGCUCCUGAAAUGGCAACUCAUGCCACUCAAAAGAAUCCUCAUCUUUUGACUUCAUCACCAGGUUUCUGGUCUUACAGAGGUAUCAUCUGUCACGAUGUAAGCUUUAUUAUUGGCAUCUGCACUUUUGCAGGUAGAGCUGUAACAGUCACCACAAAACAGAACAACCUGUGGCUGCAAAUCUAGUAAUGAGGUUUUGCAGUUCUCCUGGUUUCCAUGUCUCCCUGAGCAUGCAAAAUUUUAAGCAUGAGUGGUUCUGCCUGCAAGUUAGCAGAAACUGUAACAUCCUUGGUGUCCUCACGUUAGGACUGUGUCCUAAACUUGUACUAACCAGUUCUCCAUUAUUUCGUGUCAGUUUUUCUACUUCUUGAAUGGAUUUAGGCUGCAUAUAACUGAAGUGCUAACUUCUCUAGGAACACAUUUAACCCAGAGUUUCACUUACAGAGAAAUGAGAAGUCUUUUGGUACCUAGAAAAGGCAGUCAACACCACCUCUGAGUGCUGUCGAAGCCUGACAUAAUUAUCACAAGGGUUUUUUUCACCAGCUUAGAUUUCAAAUUAUGUAUUAUAAAGGCUUAGCAGGUAAACCUUUGGGGUCAAGAGCAGGCAGAAUGAGACCAAGUUCUGAAGGAAUAAGAUGCAGAGUCUAAGUGAGACUGAAGCUUGGUCUUUUCUUCUGCCCAGAACACAAGAGCUCAUUUCUGCAUGUUGGCAGCAUGCUCAUACACCCGUUGAAAAGAAAUGCUCCUACUUUUGUUCCUGAAUAUUCACUGUAAACUUCAGGGGUAUUUGAUCACCAUGUCUGAAAUUGGGAUAACUGUAAUGAUUAGGGAAAUUUGGGGUACGGUUUGAAUGCAUUAUUUGGGCCACCAAUAUUGUAUCAUAAGGAGAGUGGGAGGUGGUGUUUUAGCAUGCUGUGUUUGUCUAAAGGCAGAUCACACUGAGUCAUGAUGUUGUCCUUUACAACCAGAAUCAGCCUUAUAGUACUACAGGAGAUGAUCUCAAAAAUGAAAUCCCUAUUAAUGAGAACCAUAACAUUUGAGUCAGUAAGAAAUGAACGAAUGUGGAGAGAAACCCCAGCUGUUGCACAAGCUUUAAUUUUUCUUAAACAGUUCUUGAAGUUUAAUUUUAUAGGCCACAUUCCUGCUGGUUAAAUUCCCUCACUCCAUGUUUGCGCAGCCUUCUACCUUUCAAUUUUUCAGCCUCCAGGUGGAUACAUUCUAAGGCCUCCAAUAAAGAGAUUUGAGUUAAAUAGUUGAGUUUACAAGUCCUUGAGGUAAAGGUAAGGAUUUGGGCCCAUGAUCUGUGGUCCUUAUUAAAAUAGCACUUCCAUAACCCCAGUGCUAUUAAAAUCCCUGUGAACUCAAUCCAUAAAUUCAAAAAUAAAUGUUAUUCACUAUUUUAUGCUUGGUCAGUAUGUGGAAGCCAAGAAGAGUGUUUGCAGUGAUACAAGGGCAAAAACUUUCUAUAAGGAUUUACAUUUGUAACUUCUCUUUUUGGGUGAGGGAAGUUAAUUUUUCACCCAAACUAUUCAUUCAUUCCCUGAUCCGAGGCUGGAAAGACUUCCAUUCACUUCCACAGGCUUUGAAUGAAACCCAUAUUGAAAAUUCCUGUGGGUGAGAAGAUGCUGGGGGGAGCAGAAGUGUCAGCGCCAAUUUGCAGCUAGAAGGACAUACAUUGUAUGUUGUAUGCCACAUGGAGCUGCAGGGGGAAAACCUGACUCACACACCAUAGAACCAAACAGUGAUGUUUUACUGUCACUGAAGGCAGUAACAGCUUGUUACAUUAGAUUAUGUUCAUUAGCAGAAGGCUUUGCACCAAGGAGAGCCAGCCAGUGUAAUGCUCAUACUCAGAAGUCAAAAUAAUUUAGAUUGUUUUCUAGGAUACAGCACCUAGCCCAGGCUCCCCUAAUCUGUUUAGCCUCUAAGCAAAACUGCCAUAAAACUGUCUAUUAAAGAAUAAAAAUAACAAUACGCUGAGGCCAUAUGUUUUUGCAGGAAGCGAUGAGAUAAAACAAGAUGUUCCUAAAUGAAACCCACCUUGCUUUGCUUCGGCUCUUCAGGAACACUGAGGGCAAGAAGUAGCAAGAACUACAGCAGAACAGGUCCUUUUGCACCAGUGUAAACUAUGAGUAGCUCCACUGAAGGCAAGCCAGGUAUUGCCUUGUACAGAUCAGCAUUACCUCCACUGACUAACAAGGCUGGCUCGGCAUCAGCUGAGGAUCUGGAUCAGUGGAGUCAUCACGAACACAACACACAGAUGCUGGUGCAAAAAUGGUAUGUGUAAGGAAGACAAAAGGGGAUUUAUCUCAUGGAACAUCCCCCUGGAGGUCACAGGGACAGUUGUUGGAGCUGGCUCAUAGAGUGAGCCCACCACGCUGCUGUGUUACCAGUUGUACUGGGGGGGGUAACCUAUACUGCAUGAUCUAUUGCUACAUUUGAUAACAGGGACCAAAUUUCUCUCCUAUAUUAUGCAAAUGAAUCCCCUGCUAAAUGUAAUGGGAGUUUCAGUUACUUUCCUGAUAAAAAUGAGGACUGUUGAGGGUUACUGGGGACCUGGGGGGAGGGAAGAGGGGUUGUUUGGUUUUUUCCCCUCAGAGAAAAAGUAAUUUAAGUGAAAUGUGCAAGGCAGUGUUUAAUUGCUUCCUGCCUUGUUUGUACAUAGCAAUUUGGCUGUUUAUUGGUUGUCUUUGUUCAGAUUUUUAUUGUAACUUGUUGCUAUAUAUGCAACCAAGCGUAUGUUAAAGUUUAAACUUUGGUACAAAAUAAUGCACAAUUUUAUGUGCUUUAAAACUUUGUAAAUAUCUAGAUGAACAAUGUGGGCUGUGCUAACUGUGAUCUUGAGACUUGACGCAACAAUAUUUUCAUGCAUAUGUACCUGCGAAUGGUUUGAAAAUAGCAAAAUAUAUCUUGAGGAUGGCCACGAGCCAAGAGUAAAUGAGUGCCGCAUGACUCAUGCUUCUUUAAUAAUUCCUGAAAGAGGCAUGUCUAGUACAUAAAAUAGACAAUAAAAAUAAUUUUCAAGACUACAAAUAUUUUUUAUAACUUCAGAUAUUAAAUACUAUUUUAGAAAAAAGAUUGGUUGGUAAAAGAAAUCAGGUUUAUUCGAGUGAAUCAUUGUCAUAAAAAUGUUCUUAACAUAGAUUUUUUUGUUUGAUCUAAUAUCAUAGAAACCCAGCUCUUUUAAGAUUUCGAAGACUUGAAGUGCUCUUGUGUUCGUACCACUCCCGUGAUCUUCUGAAAUGAUGUACUUCAGGUCUUCUCCCUCAUUAACAAAAACAUGCUAGCGUAUACAUUCGGAAUCCUAAAUACCAUGUGCACUUGUGUAUUUGACCGUCACCAAGUACCCACCUAUAUGAGCUUUACAGUCCAUAGAAAUCUGAAUGUAGCUUGUGUUUUUCCCUGAAUUCUUUUAUUUUUAUUAGAAAAUGACUUAUUCUAAGGCCAAGCUUUCAAAUAUGGUCUCCAAAGUUAAAUUUUGGGCUACACAUUCAGACAUCUAAACAAAACAUGGCUUCCAGAGCUUGCGGGCAAAAAUAACCUGCCAUCAAAGUCAACAGGAAUUGAAACUCAAUUUGUACAAAUGUAAUUGCCUCAAUACAGCAGUGAUAUCUGGGUAGCUGGAUUUGAAGUGGCAUCUUUCUAAUCUGUGUGUUACAACUGCAGAAAGUGCUGGCAUACAAGUAUCAAAGCAGUGAACAGCACCAAGAUCUUGCAGGCUGACAGCCCAAACCCUCCCCAAGCCCAGGGCUCUCCUAUGGGCUCAGCAGCUUUCGGCAGGGUAUUUGCAAUGACACCCAGACAGAAUCCACUGCAUGCUUGCGGUGUGAAUCUGUGCUUUCAAGCCACGUUGUAAACACUGUAUUGGAGGUGUAUAAUCUGCUUGUAGCCAACACCCCAGAUAUUGCCUGCUGACGGGAAUUACCUUAUGAAAGUGAAACACUCUUCCAUUGUGACUCCUCCAUUUUUCACAUAUUCUUGUCCUCCAAAAGCAUGGCAACAUUUCCAAUGUAGGAUAAAAUUGGGUUAUUGUAUGUAAACAAGAGAAAUAAGAACUCCAUUUUCAAUGCUGAAGUGAAAGGACUUGGGUCACUUUUUACCUUGUUUCCCAGAUGGAGAGGUUGCUAAAUCUAUUUUAAGCACCAUACUGUGGGAGCCUCUCAGCAUCUUAUGCACUAUCCUACCUUUUGUACAGAUACUGCUGUAAUUAGAAUAGGUGACAUACCCAAGGUCACACAGAGAGCUUGUGACAGAGCAGGGACACAAUUUUCUGGCUUAACAUCCUUACAACAUCAGCAGCAGCCAAUUAUUCAUAGCUUCUGCACAAGUAUAUGUGGUAAUGUAAAUGUUGACAAAUGUCCGUAUUCCAGCCAGGACAUGCCAACUCAUUGCAAGCUUCAGGAUAACAGCAUCUUACUGGAGUAUCUGUGGGUAUUUUCACACAUGGAAAAUAUUGUAACCAAAAUGCAGCCAAAGUGGAGCUCAGCAGUAGAGUGAAAUACUGCUUAAACUGUAAGAUAAAAUGUGACUGUCGGUCACCUCUGCUUCCUUCGUUUUCAGUUGCAAAACAUUGUUACCACAUUUCCAAAGUCAGUAAAAGAAAAAAACCAAAUGCAAGUAAUUAGUCAUGUACAGUAAGCUAAGGAAUUAACUAGAAAAAACACUGCAAGACAAAGAAGGAUUUUUUGUGUGCAUGUACUUAAAUUACUUGGGGGCAUUUCUGCAUGUACCACACAGCUUUUAGAGCCUAGUUGUUCCUAUGUUUUGCUUGCCCCAAGCUGAGAUUUCUUCUUUAUAUGAGAAGAUAGGUAAGUGAACAGUGCAGUCCGUCCAGACCUUUCUAACACGUUUGCCAUGGUUCCUUGAAGGACAGUGCUGGUUUAUAAUUGCCUCUGUGUUCUAUGAUGAAAUGCUUUUAAACCAACUGGAAAGAAGUUAAC